ACACGACUACAUUAGAUACCCCUGUAGUCCAGGGUGUAAACGCUGCGGGCUUGGUGUUGGGGUCCUUUGAGGGCGCCCAGUGCCGGAGAGAAGUUGUUAAGCCUGCUGCUUGGGGAGUACGUCCGCAAGGAUGAAACUUAAAGGAAUUGGCGGGGGAGCACCGCAACGGGAGGAGCGUGCGGUUCAAUUGGAUUCAACGCCGGACAACUCACCAGGAGCGACGGUUACAUGAAGGCCAGGCUGAUGACCUUGCCUGAUUUUCCG
rnacentral:rRNA from 1 species